UACGAGGGGGGCAAGCGUUGUUCGGAAUCACUGGGCGUAAAGGGAGCGUAGGCGGGUUCUUAAGUUAGGUGUUUAAUCCCGGGGCCCAACCCCGGACCGGCACUUAAAACUGGGAAUCUUGAGUAGUGGAGAGGUCAGUGGAAUUGGGGGUGUAGCGGUGGAAUGCGUAGAGAUCCCCAAGAACACCAGUUGCGAAGGCGGCUGACUGGACAGAUAUUGACGCUGAGGCUCGAAAGCAUGGGGAGCAAACAGG
rnacentral:rRNA from 1 species